GACGAACCGUGCGAACGUUAUUCGGAUUCACUGGGCUUAAAGGGCGCGUAGGCGGGCUCGCCAGUCAGGGGUGAAAGCCCACGGCUCAACCGUGGAAGUGCCUUUGAUACUGCGAGUCUCGAGGGAGGUAGGGGCGUGCGGAACUUCCGGUGGAGCGGUGAAAUGCGUAGAUAUCGGAAGGAACACCGGUGGCGAAAGCGGCGCGCUGGACCUCUUCUGACGCUGAGGCGCGAAAGCCAGGGGAGCAAACGGG
rnacentral:rRNA from 1 species